rnacentral:rRNA from 1 species
CCAGCAGCCGCGGUAAUACGUAGGGUACGAGCGUUGUCCGGAAUUAUUGGGCGUAAAGAGCUCGUAGGUGGUUGGUCACGUCUGCUGUGGAAACGCAACGCUUAACGUUGCGCGUGCAGUGGGUACGGGCUGACUAGAGUGCAGUAGGGGAGUCUGGAAUUCCUGGUGUAGCGGUGAAAUGCGCAGAUAUCAGGAGGAACACCGGUGGCGAAGGCGGGACUCUGGGCUGUAACUGACACUGAGGAGCGAAAGCAUGGGGAGCGAACAGGAUUAGAUACCCUGGUAGUCCAUGCCGUAAACGUUGGGCACUAGGUGUGGGGGACAUUCCACGUUCUCCGCGCCGUAGCUAACGCAUUAAGUGCCCCGCCUGGGGAGUACGGUCGCAAGGCUAAAACUCAAAGGAAUUGACGGGGGCCCGCACAAGCGGCGGAGCAUGCGGAUUAAUUCGAUGCAACGCGAAGAACCUUACCAAGGCUUGACAUACACUGGACCGUUCUGGAAACAGUUCUUCUCUUUGGAGCUGGUGUACAGGUGGUGCAUGGUUGUCGUCAGCUCGUGUCGUGAGAUGUUGGGUUAAGUCCCGCAACGAGCGCAACCCUCGUUCUAUGUUGCCAGCACGUGAUGGUGGGAACUCAUAGGAGACUGCCGGGGUCAACUCGGAGGAAGGUGGGGAUGACGUCAAAUCAUCAUGCCCUUUAUGUCUUGGGCUUCACGCAUGCUACAAUGGCUGGUACAGAGAGAGGCGAACCCGUGAGGGUGAGCGAAUCCCUUAAAGCCAGUCUCAGUUCGGAUCGUAGUCUGCAAUUCGACUACGUGAAGUCGGAGUCGCUAGUAAUCGCAGAUCAGCAACGCUGCGGUGAAUACGUUCCCGGGCCUUGUACACACCGCCCGUCAAGUCACGAAAGUCGGUAACACCCGAAGCCGGUGUCCCAACCCCUUUUUUUGGAGGGGGCCGUC